rnacentral:sRNA from 1 species
UUGCCACCGCCUCUUCAGUUUCGGAUUGAAAAUUUUGAUUUAUUUACGAAAUUACCACCCUUCAGCGUGCACGUUUCGAGCAUCGUAGAAAGCAAACCCGACUUUUGUUCUAGAGAUCUCUUCGACGACAAACCCAUGUUGCUCCAGAGCUCUUCAACGACAAAGUCGAUUCGGCGCCUCACCGUCGCACACCUCGCCUUCCCCUCGCCGUCGCACACCUCGCCUUACCUCGCCGCCGCACUCCUUACCAGAACUCGAAUCAAUGGUUCAUGGAUUGUUAAGCAGAGUGUGGGAAAGAAAGGGUGCCUCACUGGUUAGGCACUUGAAAUCAAUUAUUUCCAUCGGAAGAACUACUUGGAGGACGUUUGGGAGCAAGCUGAAAUUGAUAUCAUUGAGCACAAGACAAGAAUAAGCCUCCAUUUCCAUCCCCUAAAAGCAGCAUAAGAAAAUUAAACAAGCAUUUUCAUACAGCUGGAGGCUAUUUAGUUGUAUGGGCUUUUGCGGGUUUGGGCUGUGACUGGGUUGGUGGGUUUUGUUUGUGGUUGGGUUUUUCAGAUGGAUGGCGCCACGGGCAGGCCUAGCCUGCAACGAUGCCAGCGAGAAGAGAUGGGAAGAGAUGGGAGGUGUCGUGUGAUGCGAGAGAGAAGAGAGAGAGGAGUCGUCCGAUGGCAGAUAAGAGAGAGGGGUCGUGCGAUGCCAGAGAGAAGAGAGAGCAGGACUCCUGGAAGGAAAAAUUGGAGGAGAGAGGGAGGGGUAGGAUGAGCAAUGCAAUAGGUAGGGCUGCCCGGAAUUUGGGUUUUGUUUUUUCUUGGUGAGGUAUGCUUAGAGAAGCGGUGAGGCAUGAAGGGACGCCUAAACCGAGGGUUGGUUUCAGAGAUUUGGUUCCAACUGGAAGCUAUCUCUGCAAGCAUUGAUGAGGAUUUCUCCCAGCUGGCAGCUUCAAUUCCUUUCAAAUCUAGGAACUUGGAUCAUUGGACAGAGAACUUGGCCCAUUGGCUUUUGAGUUGGGAUGAAUGGGUAGGGUUGGAUCGUCUGAUGAAAAACACUGACGAGAAUAAGAAGAAAGCAUGAGUACCUCAACCAGAAACAGAGAACAGACAAGAAUGCAAAGCUAAUACACACAACACAUACUAAACUAAGAAGUUAUCAUGGUUGGGUUUAUCAUCUUUUAACAUUUCUUUUGUUGUUGCCCAAUCAUGAAAUUUGGAUUUAUUCUUGAAUGUUAGAUGUAGGGUGUGUAAUUCUGGCAUGUGACAUGAACCAUCCUAUUUUUGGGCGAGCUUUGAGGUUUAACGGUCAUACCCUUCAUAGGGGUAAAUAUAAUGGAUAUGGGAUACUGAAAAAGUAACAAUGUAGUUAACUAAUUUACCAACAUGCAUUCUUCAUUUAUGAUCAUAACUUGAAUACGGUUCUUGAAUUAGGAUGCCAAGAGGUUAGGUACUGAAAAUAUAUCCUGUUUUAUUAACUUCUCUUGCAAUUUGAAAGUGUAUAUAAUCUGCAUUGUUCUUACUGUUGGUAUGAAAUUAUGUAAAGCGUCAAGAGGGAAGAAGCGAAAGAAUGACUCUGUCUGUAAGAUGGGUUUCUGUAAUGCGAAUUUCGUGAGGUUCAUAACACUGAUUUGAUUCUCUCAUAAGAAAGGAUCUCCUCUCUGGCUUUCUAGGCCAAGUUGUCGAAGCUCUCUCUAGAGAGAAAGUGGCAGCAGUAGUGGGGAAGGAAGAAGGACCAUUCAUGUUUCUGUUAUCAUUUCUGCCAUUCGAAACUCUGGGGUUUGGCUUUGGCUCCGUUAGCUGUUGAGUUUGUCACGAAAUGAGUUCAACCAUGGAUUCGUAUACAUUGAAGUCUACAUCAGAUUUGUCUGCUCUCUGACCUGAUUGAGUGAGGGAGGAGGGAUAGAGCGCAUAGAGAAUAUGACGGAAAUUGAGGAGGAAGCCCAUGCUUGCAGAGAGUUAGUGAGAUCUGAAGCCCAUGCCUGGAUGAACUCAUUUAAUUUGAGCACACAG